AGCAGCUGUGGGAAUUCUAAACAAAAAGCAGUCUACAUUUCAGCAGCAGUUGAAUACACUCGACCCUCUAGGUCUCUCUCCCAUCACAUUCCAAGGGACUAAAUAUCUGGCUUAUUUGUAAAAUUAACAACAAAUACAUACAAUUAGAUUAACUUGAUAUUAUUAAAGAAUGUACUGCAUGGAUGACGCCAUAGAAUAUAAAGGCAACAUCUGAUCCCUGCCAUCCAGGAACUUACAAAUACUAAUAAAUUGUGGCAUGCUAAUUAGAUAGAAAUUAAGCACUUGGCUGGGUGCGGUGGCUCAUACCUGUAAUCCCAGGACUUUGGGAAGCCGAGGCGGGUGGAUCACCUGAGGCCUCCCAAAGUGCUGGGAUUACAGGUGUG
rnacentral:lncRNA from 10 species